rnacentral:rRNA from 1 species
CUGGCGGCGUGCUUAAUACAUGCAAGUAGAACGUGAAGCUUGGUGCUUGCACCGAGCGGAUGAGUUGCGAACGUGAGUAACGCGUAGGUAACUGCCUCUUAGCGGGGGAUAACUAUUGGAAACGAUAGCUAAUACCGCAUAAAAGUCGAUAUCGCAUGAUAUUGAUUGAAAGGUGCAAAUGCAUCACUAAGAGAUGGACCUGCGUUGUAUUGGCUAGUUGGUGAGGUAACGGCUCACCAAGGCGACGAUACAUAGCCGACCUGAGAGGUGAUCGGCCACACUGGGACUGAGACACGGCCCAGACUCCUACGGGAGGCAGCAGUAGGGAAUCUUCGGCAAUGGGGGCAACCCUGACCGAGCAACGCCGCGUGAGUGAAGAAGGUUUUCGGAUCGUAAAGCUCUGUUGUAAGAGAAGAACGAGUGUGAGAGUGGAAAGUUCACACUGUGACGUAACUUACCCGAAAGGACGCUA